rnacentral:rRNA from 1 species
AUUGAACGCUGGCGGCAGGCUUAACACAUGCAAGUCGAGCGGGGAAAGGUAGCUUGCUACCUGACCUAGCGGCGGACGGGUGAGUAAUGCUUAGGAAUCUGCCUAUUAGUGGGGGACAACAUCUCGAAAGGGAUGCUAAUACCGCAUACGUCCUACGGGAGAAAGCAGGGGACCUUCGGGCCUUGCGCUAAUAGAUGAGCCUAAGUCGGAUUAGCUAGUUGGUGGGGUAAAGGCCUACCAAGGCGACGAUCUGUAGCGGGUCUGAGAGGAUGAUCCGCCACACUGGGACUGAGACACGGCCCAGACUCCUACGGGAGGCAGCAGUGGGGAAUAUUGGACAAUGGGGGGAACCCUGAUCCAGCCAUGCCGCGUGUGUGAAGAAGGCCUUUUGGUUGUAAGGCACUUUAAGCGAGGAGGAGGCUACCGAGAUUAAUACUCUUGGAUAGUGGACGUUACUCGCAGAAUAAGCACCGGCUAACUCUGUG